CAGUAGCCGCGGUAAUACAGAGGGUGCGAGCGUUAAUCGGAUUUACUGGGCGUAAAGCGUGCGUAGGCGGCUUUUUAAGUAGGAUGUGAAAUCCCUGAGCUUAACUUAGGAAUUGCAUUCGAUACUGGGAAGCUAGAGUAUGGGAGAGGAUGGUAGAAUUCCAGGUGUAGCGGUGAAAUGCGUAGAGAUCUGGAGGAAUACCGAUGGCGAAGGCAGCCAUCUGGCCUAAUACUGACGCUGAGGUACGAAAGCAUGGGGAGCAAACAGGAUUAGAUACCCCUGUAGUCCCUGUCUCUUAUAC
rnacentral:rRNA from 1 species